GUGUUAGUCCUGCUUACUCAAUGGAAAACAAUUUUGGAAAGCAUAUAUUGUUUCAUUAAAGUGCUGUGAGUGAAUGCUCAACUUAUGUGCUCUACUUGGUCCAUUCAUCAUUUUGAAAAGAUGGCAACCGUAGGUGGUGAUAUCAGUGCGUUUCUCUGUUCCUUGCUCGUCCUACUUCACCUUGGGUUCUAGGUUUGGGAUUGAGUGUGAAUUUGUGAGCUUUGAUGGCAGUUCGGCUGGGUUGAUUGUUUUAUUGGGCAGGCUGCCAUUAGUCAAUGUAGGCUUCCCUUUUUGUGCAGGUUUUAAACCAAGUUUGUAUGUAUAUCUUCGCCCUAUGAGAUUCUAAUGCAAUUAGCAUGUAAAAA